rnacentral:rRNA from 1 species
UACGUAGGGAGGCAAGCGUUGUCCGGAAUUACUGGGUGUAAAGCGCGUGUAGGCGGCAGGCCAAGUCUGUGGUGAAAAUCGCUCGGCUUCAACUGGGCGGGGUCCAUGGAAACUGGUCAGCUGGAGGACGGUAGAGGUGAGUGGAAUUCCCGGUGUAGUGGUGAAAUGCGUAGAGAUCGGGAGGAACACCCGUGGCGAAGGCGGCUACACGUGGGCCGGUCCGUGACGCUGAGACGCGAAGGCGUGGGGAGCGAACAGG